rnacentral:rRNA from 1 species
GCAGCAGUGGGGAAUCUUGCGCAAUGGACGAAAGUCUGACGCAGCGACGCCGCGUGGGUGAUGAAGGCCUUCGGGUUGUAAAGCCCUGUGGGGAGAGACGAAUAAGUGUAGCCUAAUACGUUACAUGAUGACGGUAUCUCCUUAGCAAGCACCGGCUAACUCUGUGCCAGCAGCCGCGGUAAGACAGAGGGUGCAAACGUUGUUCGGAAUUACUGGGCGUAAAGCGUGUGUAGGCGGCCACGUAAGUCGGAUGUGAAAGCCCCAGGCUCAACCUGGGAAGUGCACUCGAUACUGCGUGGCUUGAGUAUCGGAGAGGUUGGUGGAAUUCUCGGUGUAGAGGUGAAAUUCGUAGAUAUCGAGAGGAACACCGGUGGCGAAGGCGGCCAACUGGACGAAUACUGACGCUGAGACACGAAAGCGUGGGGAGCAAACAGGAUUAGA